rnacentral:rRNA from 1 species
AUUGAACGCUGGCGGUAUGCCUUACACAUGCAAGUCGAACGGCAGCACGGGUGCUUGCACCUGGUGGCGAGUGGCGAACGGGUGAGUAAUAUAUCGGAACGUACCUUAUUGUGGGGGAUAACGCAGCGAAAGCUGUGCUAAUACCGCAUAAUCCCUAAGGGGGAAAGCGGGGGACCGUAAGGCCUCGCGCAAUUAGAGCGGCCGAUACCUGAUUAGCUAGUUGGUGAGGUAAAGGCUCACCAAGGCAACGAUCAGUAGCUGGUCUGAGAGGACGAUCAGCCACACUGGGACUGAGACACGGCCCAGACUCCUACGGGAGGCAGCAGUGGGGAACUUUGGACAAUGGGGGCAACCCUGAUCCAGCAAUGCCGCGUGAGUGAAGAAGGCCUUCGGGUUGUAAAGCUCUUUUGUCAGGGAAGAAACAGCAGCUCUAACACAGUUUGCGAAUGACGGUACCUGAAGAAUAAGCACCGGCUAACUACGUGCCAGCAGCCGCCGUAAAAC